UUAUAAUUUUACUUACAUUAUGUUAUGUACUUUAAUCCUUUGAACUUUAAGAAACAGAAAAUUAAGUAUCUCUCCGAUUGUGCAUAAAGGAAAAUAUAUCUUGCCUCAUAUUUUGAUAAUACUUUUAUGUAACUGAUCUCAUUUAAAUCAUAUAACAACCCACUGUGGCCAAUUACAGGUCUUACCCCAACUUUACCGCUCUGAACACUGAGCCUCGGGACAUGGCUUUGAUGUGAUUUACAAGGUGGACCUGAAGUUCAUUUUCCAUUGCCACAGCGACAGGAAGGAAAGCUGAAACCAGGAGUGCCGGCGGGAGAGCUGCAGGGCAGGACGCAAUGCCAUCAAGUGACUGGAGUCUCGUUAUUAGGAAAUGUGGAAAGGUUACUGAAACUGGUAAGCAGGCCACAGGAACUGAAUACUCCCAGGGAUGAGGGAGGCACUGGUGAACACUGAACCCUUUU
rnacentral:lncRNA from 1 species